GACGAACGCUGGCGGCGUGCUUAACACAUGCAAGUCGAACGGAAAGGCCCUGCUUUUGUGGGGUGCUCGAGUGGCGAACGGGUGAGUAACACGUGAGUAACCUGCCCUUGACUUUGGGAUAACUUCAGGAAACUGGGGCUAAUACCGGAUAGGAGCUCCUGCUGCAUGGUGGGGGUUGGAAAGUUUCGGCGGUUGGGGAUGGACUCGCGGCUUAUCAGCUUGUUGGUGGGGUAGUGGCUUACCAAGGCUUUGACGGGUAGCCGGCCUGGGAGGGUGACCGGCCACAUUGGGACUGAGGUACGGACCAGACUCCUACGGGAGGCAGCGGGGGGGAAUAUGGCACAAUGGGCGGAAGCCUGAUGCAGCAACGCCGCGUGCGGGAUGACGGCCUUCGGGUUGUAAACCGCUUUCGCCUGUGACGAAGCGGGAGUGACGGUAAUGGGUAAAGAAGCACCGGCUAACUACGUG
rnacentral:rRNA from 1 species